rnacentral:rRNA from 1 species
ACGAUAGUUUAACGGCCGCGGUAUUUGACCGUGCGAAGGUAGCGCAAUCACUUGUCUCUUAAAUGGGGACCUGUAUGAAUGGCACCACGAGGGCUUAACUGUCUCCACUUUCCAGUCAAUGAAAUUGAUCUUCCCGUGCAGAAGCGGGAAUUAUAACAUAAGACGAGAAGACCCUAUGGAGCUUUAGACACGAAAGCAGAUCAUGUUAAACAUCCCUAAACAAAGGACAAAACCAAAUGAAGCCUGCCCUAAUGUCUUUGGUUGGGGCGACCGCGGGGGACCAUAAAACCCCCACGUGGAUUGAGACCACCUGUCUUAGAACUAAGAGCUCCCGCUCUAAUAAACAGAACUUCUGACCAAUAAGAUCCGGCUUUGCCGAUCAACGGACCGAGUUACCCUAGGGAUAACAGCGCAAUCCCCUUUUAGAGCCCAUAUCGACAAGGGGGUUUACGACCUCGAUGUUGGAUCAGGAUAUCCUAAUGGUGCAGCCGCUAUUAAGGGUUCGU